GACGAACGCUGGCGGCGUGCUUAACACAUGCAAGUCGAACGAUGAAGACUGGUGCUUGCACUGGUUGGAUUAGUGGCGAACGGGUGAGUAAUACGUGAGUAACCUGCCUUUGACUCUGGGAUAAGCCUGGGAAACUGGGUCUAAUACCGGAUAUGACAAGGAACCGCAUGGUUUUUUGUGGAAAGGGUUUGUACUGGUUUUAGAUGGGCUCACGGCCUAUCAGCUUGUUGGUGGGGUAGUGGCUCACCAAGGCGACGACGGGUAGCCGGCCUGAGAGGGUGACCGGCCACACUGGGACUGAGACACGGCCUAGACUCCUACGGGAGGCAGCAGUGGGGAAUAUUGCACAAUGGGCGCAAGCCUGAUGCAGCGACGCCGCGUGAGGGAUGACGGCCUUCGGGUUGUAAACCUCUUUCAGCAGGGAAGAAGCGAAAGUGACGGUACCUGCAGAAGAAGCGCCGGCUAACUACGUGCCAGCAGCCGCGGUAAUACGUAGGGCGCGAGCGUUGUCCGGAAUUAUUGGGCGUAAAGAGCUUGUAGGCGGUUUGUUGCGUCUGCUGUGAAGACCGGGGCUUAACCCCGGUAUUGCAGUGGGUACGGGCAGACUAGAGUGCAGUAGGGGAGACUGGAAUUCCUGGUGUAGCGGUGAAAUGCGCAGAUAUCAGGAGGAACACCGAUGGCGAAGGCAGGUCUCUGGGCUGUAACUGACGCUGAGAAGCGAAAGCAUGGGGAGCGAACAGGAUUAAAUACCCUGGUAGUCCAUGCCGUAAACGUUGGGCACUAGGUGUGGGGGACAUUCCACGUUUUCCGCGCCGUAGCUAACGCAUUAAGUGCCCCGCCUGGGGAGUACGGCCGCAAGGCUAAAACUCAAAGGAAUUGACGGGGGCCCGCACAAGCGGCGGAGCAUGCGGAUUAAUUCGAUGCAACGCGAAGAACCUUACCAAGGCUUGACAUAUGCUGGACCGCCUCAGAGAUGGGGUUUCCCUUCGGGGCUGGUAUACAGGUGGUGCAUGGUUGUCGUCAGCUCGUGUCGUGAGAUGUUGGGUUAAGUCCCGCAACGAGCGCAACCCUCGUUCUAUGUUGCCAGCACGUUAUGGUGGGGACUCAUAGGAGACUGCCGGGGUCAACUCGGAGGAAGGUGGGGAUGACGUCAAAUCAUCAUGCCCCUUAUGUCUUGGGCUUCACGCAUGCUACAAUGGCCGGUACAAAGGGUUGCGAUACUGUGAGGUUGAGCUAAUCCCAAAAAGCCGGUCUCAGUUCGGAUUGGGGUCUGCAACUCGACCCCAUGAAGUCGGAGUCGCUAGUAAUCGCAGAUCAGCAACGCUGCGGUGAAUACGUUCCCGGGCCU
rnacentral:rRNA from 1 species